UGAUCUCUAUAUCAUGAGCUCGUGCGAAUGAUGCUAAUAUGCAUGAAUGAGAUGCACCCGUAUCAAAUAUGGCUCUAGCCCUAGUGCCUCUGAUUAAAAUAAUACCUGCCACGACGUCGUCAGGAACGAUGAUUGGCGGCUCCUCCACCUGAGUGGCAAAAACCCGCCCACUAGGUGCUCGAGAAGCCUCCGGCUGACAUGGCGCCGACGAUCGUCCAGCAGACGUUGCGGGUGGCAGUCCCGCCAGCUGUCGCUGCGUGUACUGUACUGAGGCUGAUGACGGGGCUGGGGACGCGCCGCCCGGGCACUCUCGACUCAUGUGCCCCGGUUGGCCACAUUGAUAACACCGCCCCUCCCGCUGUGGGCAGCUGGUGGCCCUAUGCUCCCC
rnacentral:lncRNA from 1 species